GAUGAACGCUGGCGGCGUGCUUAACACAUGCAAGUCGAACGGAAAGGCCGAAGCUUGCUUCGGUCCUCGAGUGGCGAACGGGUGAGUAACACGUGGGUGAUCUGCCCUGUACUUCGGGAUAAGCUUGGGAAACUGGGUCUAAUACCGGAUAUGACAAUCUCUUGGAUGGGGUUGUGGAAAGCUUUUGCGGUAUGGGAUGAGCUCGCGGCCUAUCAGCUUGUUGGUGGGGUAAUGGCCUACCAAGGCGUCGACGGGUAGCCGGCCUGAGAGGGUGUACGGCCACAUUGGGACUGAGAUACGGCCCAGACUCCUACGGGAGGCAGCAGUGGGGAAUAUUGCACAAUGGGCGCAAGCCUGAUGCAGCGACGCCGCGUGGGGGAUGACGGCCUUCGGGUUGUAAACUCCUUUCGCAACCGACGAAGCUUUUGUGACGGUAGGUUGAGAAGAAGCACCGGCUAACUACGUG
rnacentral:rRNA from 1 species